rnacentral:rRNA from 1 species
GAUCCUGGCUCAGGAUGAACGCUAGCUACAGGCUUAACACAUGCAAGUCGAGGGGCAGCAGUUGGAGUAGCAAUACUUCAGAUGGCGACCGGCGCACGGGUGAGUAACACGUAUCCAACCUGCCGCUUACUCGGGGAUAGCCUUUCGAAAGAAAGAUUUAAUACCCGAUGGUAUAAAGAGUUCGCAUGUUCUCUUUAUUAAAGAAUUUCGGUAAGCGAUGGGGAUGCGUUCCAUUAGAUAGUUGGCGGGGUAACGGCCCACCAAGUCUACGAUGGAUAGGGGUUCUGAGAGGAAGGUCCCCCACAUUGGAACUGAGACACGGUCCAAACUCCUACGGGAGGCAGCAGUGAGGAAUAUUGGUCAAUGGACGAGAGUCUGAACCAGCCAAAAGUAGCGUGAAGGAUGACUGCCCUAUGGGUUGUAAACUUCUUUUAUAAGGGAAUAAAGUGAGGGACGUGUCCCUUUUUGUAUGUACCUUAUGAAUAAGGAUCGGCUAACUCCGUGCCAGCCGCCGC